AUACCACCUUGAAUAGUGCAUUGCUAGCUGUCUCUCCUCUCUGUAGCUGUCCUGGUGUCUAUUGGUUUCCUUUUGGCUGUAUGCUGCGUCGAAUGUGGUGCUAAGACUUGAUAUACAGACAUUAUAUUGCGGUAAAGUGGCUUACAGCAGGAAAGGAGACACAACUGGCUCAUCCGAGUCAAGCAUGUUAACUGUGAUGAGCAAAGUGAACAAGUAUUAUAAGAUGUUUUUGGCAAGGAAAAGAUGUGGUGGGAAUAAUGACUGCAUAAUAUUAUAAGGUUUAUAAUUCCUGUUAAUCACUUACUUGAAGAGGACAGAUAUUGUGGGUAUGGGAAAAGUCUAAGAUGGCAGAGGGACACCAUCCACACCACACAAGACAGUCCAGCAAUCUGGAAGGAAGACCAGCACAAUACCACAGCAAUUGAUGCAGAGCAGCAGAUUUUCUGCCUCCCAGGAUGCUGUAAUUUUUCAAUGGACAUCAGUGAUAUGCUUUGAUUAGUGUGACAGUGGAGGAGGAAGCGGAGGAGGCAGCUUGCUGUAGCAGUAUGUUAUCACAGUCCUAAAAGGAUUACAGUAAGCACUACAUUUCUCAUUGAGAAACAUUUUGUUAGCAGGAGCAACAAAUUCUGGCAGUCCUGUAAAGGAAGUUACUUCAAGGCAAUAUAUCUCAUGUAAUGAGUAUCAUCAGAUUUGUUUAAUUUUGACCAGGUUUCUGAUUCCAUUAUUGGAGGCAAGGAUACUGGUGAACAUGACAAAAGUUUGAAACUUGGAAACCAUGCAUUUUUUUUUCUUUUUUUUUCUUUUUUUGUGAUUAGAGAACUAAUGAGAAAUGGAAAUGUUUUUUUUUAGGAUAUUCCUUUUCUCUGGGAAAGAUUGAUAUCAUGUAGUGUGAUGACAUGUUCAUUAGGUUUAAGACAUUGAUACUAGAGUAACUGCACUUUUUUUUUUUUCUUUCUCUGACCAAGAGGGAAUACAAUGUUCUUCUCUUAGAAUCUUGGCAUGUUUGCCGUUAGCGGUGAAUGGAUCCAUUUCUCGUACAAUUCACCAAAGCUUUUGAUGAGACUAAGUAACACUAUUUUGAAGGAGAAAAAUAAAGUACAUACAGGGUAAUAUAAUUAAAUGCUGAAUUUUGAAUGAUCAUCAGCUAAAAUAUGAGAUUUGCUCCAAACUGGUAAAUUCAAGUAAUGAACAGAAUAGACAUACAUUCCAUGGUAGGCUUACUGGCACAAGAAGCUGUCCUUAUUGCAAUAUAGGCAUGUAUAUCAGGUGCAUAGAUCCUUUUCAUUAUUGAAAUAGUUUAGUUACUCUUCAUUUUAAUGAUGUUUAUUGCUAAAUCUUGUAAAAUUUGCAAGGAAUGCAAGAACAUCAUGGAAACUGCCAUUCACACACUCUAGCAAGACAGCACUUCAGGUGCUGUGGCAUGACUGGUCUUUCUUCAGUUCCCUUACCUUAGUUAUUAAUUGGAUGAACGAUGAACCAUACUUCCUAGCCAAGAUUAAGACUCGGAUUACUCACUGACUUCAGUUCCUAACUCUAAAUGUGAAGAUAGAGUGAUGGCAUCAGACUACUUCUAGUUCAUAAUCUUUACCAUGUAACUGACUGUGCCUAAAGAUUUUUGAGCCUCAUGAAUGUCAAAUGACAAGGAUAUUUUGUAAGAUACCAGCCAUCAGUUAGACAGCAGCAAUGAGGCAGAUUAGAUUUGUGAUUUAGGUGGCCUUUUCAUUCCCCAAUGAGGAAAAAAGUGUAUUUUCUUUACCUGUCAUAAGUUUGUGUUGCUUCUGCAUGUGUUUCAGCAACUACCCAAAAGCUUUACUUUCAUCAGACUUGGAGUAUUUUAUGUCCCUAAAUAGGAAAUAGGAAGAAGAAAUAAAUAUGAAAAGUUGAAUAGUAAAUUUGCAUACAGUACACAGAUGUGUGCACAAAAUUUCUUUCUAAGGGUUUUUGUUUUCCUUUUCACUGUAUUCUUGCAAACUAUUCUGCUCUUGUCCUACUGUCUCAUUGCAUGUCCCAUGUCCAAGCUCAGGAUGCUGUAUUUUGUCCUUCAUAUAAUGUUUUCUUCAUUUUAUCAUGAUGCAUUAUUCAUAUAUAUAAGAUAUCUCUCAUAAUGUAUUUUCUCCAAAUAUAUGUAAUUUUAGAUAUAUCUUACAGUAACAUUUGAUAUCAGUCCUCUUAUUUUUCUCAUGUAAUGCAGCAUUUCAUCAGGUUUGUGCUGUCUGUUACAGCAUAUGCAGGAAUUAUUUAAAUUCUGCAUGUUUACUUUGUGCUGACAUAAAUGCUUCUCUUCUCUGAAAUUUUCUUUGGUUAGCUACAUGUUAUUAAUACUAUAUCUUUAGCUGCCAUAUGCCCACUGUAUAUCUUUACUUCAAUGUUGUUGUUGUUGUUGUUGUUGUUGUUGUUGUUGUUGUUGUUGUUGUUGUUGUAUGCAGUAUUGAGUUGCUAUGUCAUUUGUUCUGAUAUGGAAGUCUUUGCGUUCUCUGUUAGGUGGUGUAGCCUUGCUAUGCUGACUCCGUUACCUACUGAUGUACAUUCAAAACAGAGUUGAUAUGGGUAGAUAUUAAGGAACGAUCACAGUCAGCAGUACUGGGAGUAGUGUACAGGCCACCAAACAGUACAAAGGAAAUUAACACCUCACUAUGGCAGGUGAUAAAUAGAGCAGGAAGGUACAGUCAGGUAUGUGUGAUAGGAGAUUUUAGUUUUAGGAAUAUCAAAUGGAGCCUGAUGGUGGGUGACAAGGAAGCAGAGGAAUCUCUUAAGGUAAUUCAGGAUAAUUUUUUAAAACAAGUAGUCGUAGAACCUACAAGGGGGAACAAUAUUCAAUCUAAUUCUUACUAACAAGGAGGAAGCAGUCAUGCAGAUAGAGGUUAGAGGACAGCUAGGCAACAGUGACCAUUAGGAAAUUAGGUACAAAUAAAAAUGGGGAGAAACUUUUAAAAGCAAAAACACUAGUAAAAUACGUGACUUUAGGAGAGCAGAUUUUGAGGAAUUAAAAAGGUACCUCAAAGGAGUUGACCGGUAAUGGUUGCAGGGUGAGGUCAGGUCUGGGACGGAAUUGAGAGAGAUAAGGCAGGAUAAGAGAGGUGAGGUGAGGUGUGAGGGUGUAGGACAAGAGGAGGGAAGAUGUGUCCGGAAGGGGCGCAGGAGAGAGAGAGGGGGAGAUAGGUGUGAGUAUGUUGAAGGGUCAGGUCAUGCUGAAAUGGGAGAGGUGAGGACAAGGUAAGUAAAUGAGGGAGUGGAGAGGAUGGAAGGGGCUGAGAUGAGAGGAUUAGGUAAAAUAAAUGUAGAUGAGUUGUAUAUUUCAUAGACAAACUGCAUACAGGACAGCUAGCAAACAUCCCAUAUAGAGCAAUAAGAUCACAAAAAAAUUACCCUAAAUUGAUGACUGCUAGAUUAAAACAUUAUAUAGGAUGGAAGAGAAGUAUAUAUAAGAGAUUAAAGGCAGGUGAAGAGGUUUUAAGGCCACAAUAUAAUGAAUUAGAACAGUCAGGAGAUUAACGAGGAAAGCUAAGGGCAAUUAUGAAUUAAGGGUGGCCAGCCAGGCGAAGAUGGACCCCAAGGGAUUUUAUCAGGUAUACAGGAUAAAGAAUAAGAAUACUAUAGGUCCAUUACAGGCAGCAGAUAGGGGCAGGGGAAGACUAAUGUCAGCAGUGUUGGAACUAGAAGACUAUUUUAAAAGGGAAUCGUUGAAACUAAAUUGGCAAGUGAAGGGGAUAUACUAAAUAUUGGUGAAGGAAAAUACAACCUCUAGAUGAGAAAUAGAAAGAAUAAAUGGCAAGGAGGUGUGAUGCUUCUAGUUAGGAAGAAUUUAUUAGUGGAAUCUGUCACGUAUGGAGUGGAGGAGGCAGAAGUAUUGAAAAUAGGCUAAAGACAGAAUAUUGGAAGAUACCAUAAUGUUGUGGUGACUUAUGUUACCCCUGUUCCAACUCUUGGAGAAAGGAUGAAUGCUUGAGGACACAAGGACAUGUUUGACAGAGCUGCUUGAGGAAAAUGAUGAUAUAAUCCUGAUGGGGAACUCUAACUGUAAAGAGAUAUCUUGGGAGAAUUGGAUCACAGAAGGCAGUGAGUCAUCAUGGGGGAACAAGCUAUUAGACCUGGCUAUUGAAAAUGUCCUGACACAAUGGGUUACAGAUGACACAAGAUUUAGGAGAAAUGAAGCACCUUCAAGGCUUGAUCUAAUUUUCACCAAGGAACAAGAAAUAGCAGAAGACCUUUAAUACAUAAACCCAAUAGGAAAAAGUGAUCAUGUGCUGAUUCAGUUCACAGUUAUGGAUAAUAACCUCAGUAUAAGGAAAGAGAACCACAGAAGAGAAUGGCUAAACUACAGCAAGACUAACUUUGGACAACCUAGGAAGUAUUUCAGUGAAGUAAAUUGGAACAUAGUUAUUCAAAAGGAGGACAUAGAGGAAAAGUGGACAGCUUUCCUACACAUUUAUAAUAAGGGAGUAGAGAAAUGGGUACCCAAAAGAUCAACUGAGAACCUUUUCAAAAAGGAUUGGUACAAUAGAUGUGCAACAGCUAAAUUGGAGAGAGAAAAAGUAUGGAACAAGUGGAAGAAAAACAAGAGACUGGACCUGUGGAACAAUUACAUAAGGAAGAGGAACGAAUAUGUCAAAACUCACAGAGAUGAUCAGAAAAAUUUUGAAAAGAAUGUUGUGGAGAAAUGUAAACACCAACCAAAAUUAUUUUAUUAAUUCAUCAAUGGAAAAUUAAAGAGUUAAGAUGAAAUAAGCAUGGUAAAAGCUGGAGAAGAGACAGUGGAUGACCCAGAAAAGGUAGAUGAAGUGUUUAACAGAUACUUCCACUCUGAGUUCACUAAGGAAAAUUAUUUCAGAGGUGAGAGGACAGCAUUAGAAAAAGGGACCAACCUAAAGGAGAUUAAAACCUCAGUAGAAGUAAAGAUUAUGUUGGAAGACCUGGAUGUAAGGAAAGCAAUGGGUCCUGAUAGUGUAUCAAGUUGGAUUUCAAAAGAGUGUAGCUCACAAUUAGUCUCAGUGCUGCACAAUAUAAUUAGCACCACCCUGGUAAAAGGUAGAGUACCCAUGGUUUGGAAAUGUGCGGAUAUUACCCCAAUUCACAAGACCGGAAAUAAAGAUCCAUUAAAUUAUAGACCUGUAUCACUCACAAGUGUGGUGGCAAAGAUUUGUCAAAAGAUUAUCAAGAACAGGUGGGUAAAACAUCUAGAAGACAACAAGGUGAUAACAGAGAAACAGUUUGGCUUCAGAAAAGGAAGAUCUUGUGUUACAAAUUUGAUAAGUUUCUACUCAAGAGUAAUAGAUAUAGUGCAAGAGAGAGAGAUGGAUGGUUCGACUGCAUAUACUUAGAUUUGAGAAAAGCAUUUGAUAAAGUUCUGCACAGAAGACUAAUAUGGAAAUUGGAAAAAAUUGGAGGACUCGCUGGAUCACUGUUAAAGUGGAUGACUGACUUUUUGACAGAUAAAUGUGGACAGUAAUUAAAGGCAGCAGGUCGAACUGGAAAACGGUAAUAAGUGGAGUCCAGCAAGGUUCAGUACUUGCACCUAUUAUGUUCACAGUUUAUGUAAACGAUAUGACAGAAGGUGUAGAAAGUUACAUGAACCUUUUCACGUUAAGAUUAUGAGGAAAGUAACAAAUGAAGAAGACUGCAAUGCUUUAAAUCAGGACUUAAUUAAGAUUAAUGAAUGGUCAUUGAGGUGGAACAUGGAGUUUAACGCUAAAAAAUGUAGUGUGAUGAGGUUUGGAAAAAGUGUGAGAAGACCAGUUGGCAACUAUUACUUAAGGAAUGAGGAAAUCUCUAUAAGAUCAUAAGAAAAAGACCUAGGAGUAAUUAUUACUAAUAAUUUAUCAUUUGGGAAGCACAUAAACAAAACUAUAGGAGAAACAUAUAAUCUGCUGAGAAACAUCAAGAUCGCAUUCUCAUAUACUGAUGAAGAUAUGAUAAAAAAAAAAUGAUAACAACGAUGAUACGUCCAAGAUUGGAGUACACAGCAUCAGUGUGGUCACCAAGUUUGAAAAAGGAUACAAGAUAGUUAAAAAGAACCCAGAGAGCUGCAACUAAAAUCCCUGCAAGCUUAAGAGAGUAUAGUUAUGAGGAAAGGUUGAAGAGAUUGGGCCUGACUACACUAGAGAAAAGGAGGGAAAGAGGUGAUUUGAUAGCAAUAUAUAGAAUAUUGGAAGGAGUGGAAAAGUUGGACAGAGAAGACCUCAUGAUACCAGAUACAAGAGACAAAAGAGGACAUGGAAGGAAAUUGAAAAGGAGUGUUUGCAGAAGCAAUAGGACGGUAGUUUGAGGGAUUAGAACGGUCACCCUUUUUAGGAACAGGUUCAGUGUAGGCAAACUUCCAGCAAGAAGGAAAGGUAGAUGUUGACAGACAGAGCUGAAAGAGUUUGACUAGGCAAGGUGCAAGCACGGAGGCACAGUUUCAGAGAACAAUAGGAGGGACCCUAUCAGGUCCAUAAGCCUUCCGAGGGUUUAGGCCAUCAAGGGCAUGGAAAACAUCAUUGCGAAGAAUUUUAGUAGGUGGCAUGAAGUAGUCAGAGGGUGGAGGAGAGGGAGGAACAAGCCCAGAAUCGUCCAAGGUAGAGUUUUUAGCAAAGGUCUGAGCGAAGAGUUCAGCUUUAGAAAUAGAUGUGAUAGCAGUGGUGCCAUCUGGUUGAAAUAGAGGAGGGAAAGAAGAAGAAACAAAGUUAUUGGAGAUAUUUUCGGCUAGAUGCCAGAAGUCAUGAGGGGAGUUAGAUCUUGAAAGGUUUUGACACUUUCUGUUAAUGAAGGAGUUUUUGGCUAGUUGGAGAACAGACUUGACAUGGUUCUGGGCAGAAAUAUAAAGUGCAUGAGAUUCUGGUGAUGGAAGGCUUAACUACCUUUUGUGGGCCACCUCUCUAUCAUGUAUAGCACAAGAACAAACUGUGUUAAACCAAGGUUUAGAAGGUUUAGGUCGAGAAAAAGAGUGAGGAAUGUAUGCCUCCAUGCCAGACACUAUCAACUCUGUUAUGCGCUCAGCACACAAAGACGGGUCUCUGACACGGAAGCAGUAGUCAUUCCAAGGUAAAUCAGCAAAAUACCUCCUCAAACUACCGUCCUAUUGCUUUAAUUUCCUGCCUAUCUAAAGUUUUUGAAUCUAUCCUCAACAGGAAGAUUCUUAAACAUCUAUCACUUCACAACCUUCUAUCUGAUCGCCAGUAUGGGUUCCGUCAAGGCCGCUCUACUGGUGAUCUUCUGGCUUUCCUUACUGAGUCUUGGUCAUCCUCUUUUAGAGAUUUUGGUGAAACUUUUGUUGUUGCCUUGGACAUAUCAAAAGCUUUUGAUAGAGUCUGGCACAAAGCUUUGAUUUCCAAACUACCCUCCUACGGCUUCUAUCCUUCUUUCUGUAACUUCAUCUCAAGUUUCCUUUCUGACUGUUCUAUUGCUGCUGUGGUAGACGGUCCCUGUUCUUCUCCUAAAUCUAUUAACAGUGGUGUUCCUCAGGGUUCAGUCCUGUCACCCACUCUCUUCUUAUUAUUAAUUGAUAAUCUUCUAAACCAAACUUCUUGUCCUAUCCACUCCUACGCUGAUGAUACCAUCCUGCACUUUUCCACGUCUUUUCAUAGACGUCCAACCCUUCAGGAGGUAAACAUUUCACGCAGCGAAGCCACAGAAUGCUUGACUUCUGAUCUUUCUAAAAUUUCUGACUGGGGCAGAGCAAUUUUGGUAUUGUUCAAUGCCUCAAAAACUCAAUUCCUCCAUCUAUCAACUCGACACAACCUUCCAGACACAACCUCCUUCAAUGACACUCAACUGUCCCCCUCUUUUACACUGAACAUCCUCGGUCUGUCCUUUACUUAUAAUCUAAACUGGAAACUUCACAUCUCAUCUCUAGCUAAAACAGCUUCUACAAAGUUAGGCGUUCUGAGACGUCUCCGCCAGUAUUUCUCACCCCCCAGCUGCUAACUCUGUACAAGGGCCUUAUCCAUCCAUGUAUGGAGUAUGCUUCACAUGUCUGGGGGGGUUCCACUCAUAUUGCUCUUCUAGACAGGGUGGAAUCAAAAGCUUUUUGUCUCAUCAACUCCUCUCCUCUAACUGACUGUCUUCAACCUCUCUCUCACCGCCGCAAUGUUGCAUCUCUAGGUGUCUUCUACCGCUAUUUUCAUGCUAACUGCUCUUCUGAUCUUGCUAACUGCAUGCCUCCCCUCCUCACUGCACAAGACUUUCUUCUUUCUCUCAUCCCUAUUCUGUCCAUCUCUCUAAUGCACGAGUUAACCAGUAUUCUCAAUCAUUCAUCCCUUUCUCUGGUAAACUCUGGAACUCCCUACCUGCUUCUGUAUUUCCACCUUCCUAUGACUUGAAUUCCUUCAAGAGGGAAGUUUCAAGACUACUGCUUUGACCCUUUUAUGGGACUGGCAUUUCAGUGGGCAUUUUUUUUUAUAGGAUUUUUUGUUGCCCUUGGCCAGUGUCCUUCCUACAUAAAAAAAAAGAAAAAAAAGAAGUGACAUCAAGAAACACAGCUUCUCACACAGAAGUAUAACGGUGUGGAAUGAACUGAAAGAUGAGACUGUGUGUGCAAAGACAAUUCAUAAAUUUAAAGAAAAUCUAUAUAAAAUCAAUAUGGAGAUGGGACAGCACAAGCCUAGUGUGGCUCUUGUCCUGUAUUUCACAACUAGGUAAAUACAACUAGGUAGAUGGGGAGCUGGUUAGUUCUGGGAGGAGACUAGUAAAACUCUGAAUGAAUAUUUUUUAACUGUCUUCACCCAGGAAAACAUGCAGGAUAUGCCAAAUAGUGAAAAGAUGUUUAGAGCAGAUGAGAAUGAGAAGCUGACAGAUAUUUCCAAAACUAAGGAGAUUGUGGAACAGGAGAUAGGCUAAAAAAAGUUCAAGACACCAAGACCAGAUGAAAUAUAUUCCAGAGUACUUAAGGAAUGUAAAGAGGUUAUUAGUGAGCCGUUAGUUUCUGUCUUUACAAAAUCACUUGAGUCAGGUGAGGUACCAGUAAUGUGGAGGCAGGCUAAUGUAGUACCCAUCUUUAAGAAAGGAGAUAAAACUUUAGCGUCUAAUUAUAGACCUGUCAGCUUAACUUCUGUUGUAGGUAAAAUAUUGGAGUCAAUAAUAACAAGGAACAUUAGGGAGCAUUUAGACAAACAUAAUUUGAUAAAUCAGUCACAGCAUGGCUUCACGAAGGGGAAGUCUUGCCUGACAAACUUAUUAAGAUUUUACAGUAAAGUGUAUGAGGCAAUAGAUAAUGGUGAUAGUUAUGACAUCUUAUAUCUCGACUUUAGUAAAGCUUUUGACAAGGUACCCCAUCAGAGGCUACUGAGAAAGGUUGGGGCACACAGGAUAGAUGGGAAGGUGUUAGGCUGGAUAAGGUCAUGGCUAAGCAACAGGCGAGAAAGAGUUAUAAUAAACAGCUCUAAAUCCGAAUGGGGUCACGUAAUUAGUGGGGUGCCACAGGGAUCAGUAUUAGAGCCAUUGUUGUUUUUAAUAUAUAUAUCAAUGACUUGGAUAGUGGAAUUAGUGAUGUUAGUAAAUUUGCGGAUGACACAAAGAUAAGUAGAUUAAUUAGGUCAGAAUCAAAUGCAAUCACCUUGCAGGCAGAUUUAGAUAGGAUGAAUGAAUGGACAGACAGAUGACAAAUGCAAAGUGCUUAGUGUAGGUAGAGGAAACCCACACAGUAGCUACACAAUAAACAACAAAACUCUGGUAGGUUCAGGGUACAAAAAAAAUUUAGAAGUUAUAGUUAGCUCUGAACUCCAUCUAGGAAAGCAAUGCAUAGAGGCCAAAAAACAGGGCAAACAGGGUAUUAGGAUUCAUUUUAGGAGUGUUAAAAGUAGAAGGCCCGACAUAAUAUUAAAGUUAUAUUUGGCGCUGGUCAGACCUCAUCUAGACCACGCUGUGCAGUUCUGGUCCCCACAUUACAGGAAAGAUAUAGGUCUAUUAGAAUAAGUACAAAGGAGAAUGACUAAAAGGAUACAGGGGAUGAGGAGUAUUCCUUAUGAGGCAAGAUUGAAGCUGUUAAAUUUACAUUCUUUAGAGAGAUGUAGGUUAAGAGGGGACCAGAUAGAAGUCUUUAAGUGGUAUAAGGGUUAUAACAAAAUUCUUAGGAUCAGCAACCAGAAUAAAACAAGAAAUAAUAGGUUCAAGCUUGAAAAAAUUUAGGUUUAAGAAAGAGAUAGGAAGAAAUUAGUUCUCAAAACGAGUGGAAGAUGAGUGGAACGGAUUCAGUAAUCAUGUUGUUAGUGCUAGGACAUUAGGGAGCCUUAAGAUAACAUUAAACGGGUUUGUGGAUGGAUGGGGAUGAUAGGUGGAAAUAGGUGGGUAUAUUUCAUAAAGGGACUGACACAUGUAAGCCUGGUCACUUCUUGCAGCUUCCCUUAUUUCUUAUGUUCUUACAUUGCAAUGUCUCUUGGUGCUGCUGUAUACUAUAUAUGUAUGCUAUAAGAUAGUGAUGAAUUUUGUGUGAUCUCUUAAUGCAACUAACCAUGUGUUCUGUCUUAUAAGGCAUUGGUGUUUGAUAAACACCUUGGUGUUGCCAAAUGUUUGUACAGGUGCGGAAAAAAAAAAUGUAUCUUAUGAAUGCUGCUGUCUUUCAUAGUAAGGCCUUGGUUUUAUUUUCUGCCCUGUGUUACAUACCUAGUGUGUGUUGUACUGUUUUUCAUGUUUUAUAAGUAGCACAUACUUGUUAACAUUUCAGAAUACCAGCUGUUAAACUAUUAAUAUA